rnacentral:rRNA from 1 species
UACGUAGGGUGCAAGCGUUGUCCGGAAUUAUUGGGCGUAAAGAGCUCGUAGGCGGUCUGUCGCGUCGGCUGUGAAAACCCGGAGCUCAACUCCGGGCCUGCCGUCGAUACGGGCAAACUGGAGUACUGCAGGGGAGACUGGAAUUCCUGGUGUAGCGGUGAAAUGCGCAGAUAUCAGGAGGAACACCGGUGGCGAAGGCGGGUCUCUGGGCAGUAACUGACGCUGGAGGAGCGAAAAGCGUGGGGAGCGAACAGG